GACACAUCCUACUAAAUUUAAAUAAGCUUUUGACGAGUUACGAUGCGCUUUUGACUGUCAUGAUAGGGCCCAUGGUCAUUUAGCAGCAGCUUUUGUCCAAAGAUACUCAGACACUCCACAGUGGCUCAGCUGAUGUCUGCUUUUGGUCUUACAUGGAAGCUACACCGGGCUCGUGAAUGAAGCAUUCUGUUCGCGUUGCGUCUGCCACAACAAUUAGCAAUUAGCUUCCACUAUAAUCAAUGGAACUGGUUACACCAGACGUAACAUGCAUGUGUUUGGAAAAAUUAGACUAUUAAAACUAUUUUUACACUACGCAAAUGGAGCGCUUCAGUUGCGGACGCAGUGUCGCCCGGAUGUUAGAAUGAAUGUCAUGUUACCUUUGGUAAUUCAGGCAGCAGUUUUUUGAGUGUGGGUAGAGAGGCACGAUUGUCAAUCAGUUGGCCCUGGCCGUUUGUCCAUGAGAGGCCCAGACAGACCUCAGAGAUGGCCAGUCCAAAAAGCCACUACCAGGAUGGACACUGAUGCUGAAGGAAUCAAUGUCUUGCCCACACCUGGCCCUCACCUGGCUCAACUUGAGAUCACUGGAGAUUCCAUGGAGUCCUGACAUGCCUUUUUCAAAGCGCGUCCGACACAGACAUCCCCUGAUGGAAAACCGCUGCCCCGGCUAUUCAUUCCAUUCAGUGUGCGACGAGGACGCUGAUGAAGUGCCCAUACAUCAAAACAAGAGCAAAACAUUCAUGAGAAAUAAACUACAUGCCCCAGAUAAGAGACUUUCCAAAGCUCCGAUGCCAUGUCGUUAUGCAGUGCCUGAUCAUUUCUGAAGAGAUUCAUGGCUGUUCUUUAGUAGGACACAAAAGCAAAGUUAAUUUUUCAUCUGAACUUGUGUAUUAGACAUAAUGCCUUAAAAUAUUCAUUUUGACGGGGUGUUAAAUAAUAAAUAAACGUCAUGUCAUUGUUAAAUGUCAUCAUGUUCAUACAAAAUUAA